CCUUUAUCCCCAUUUACUCCCACCAAACCCGACGACCACUCUUACUCUUCCAAAACAGCCCCAAUUGCUCUCUCCAACCAGCAACCCAUAUACUCAAAAUCAAAACCUAGCUAACCACUUACACCGUUUCAUUUCUCUUCAGCAUAGAAAUCAAACCAUUUGCAGUGGAUUUCUUGAAACCCUAGAAAUCAUAGUGGGAAUGGGAAGAAUAUUGCUCCGGCGAAGGUGGGUUUUGUUUUGGCUUCAUUUUAGUCAAACCCUAUAUUGGAUUGGUUUGUGAGUACAAUAGAUUGAGGGUCUCUCUUUCCGCUUCCCACAUGCCCAAGUGCGAAAUCUGCCAGGUACGAGUUCAUUUCAGUCCUCUCUAACAAACCCUAAAGCGGCCAUCAAAGGUUUAUUUACAGAAAUUGAAAGGUUCUGGAUUCUGGUACAAAGGGUUCUGGGUUUGUAAUUGGGUUUCUCAAAAAUUGGGGGUUGGGGAUUGUCUCAUCCUCUCUACAUCUGCUUAGAUUAGGGGUUGGGGGUUGUCUCGACUUGAGAUUUAGUGUCUUUCUCGACUUUUGUUUGGAAUUGGACGCCCAAUUCUGUGCUCAGUGAAGGGGCCUUCAAGGGACUAGGGGACUUUUUGAAGGAGGAGUUGGACUCGGAUUCGGAAUAUGAGUCGGAGAGUGAGGUGGUUGAGCCUGCUAAUGAAGACGAGCUGGCUUUUUCGAAAUUAGGCUUGCCCAGCAGCUUGUGGAUAGCCUUGAGAAGCAUGGCUUUUCUUCCCUUUUUCCCAUUCAUUCAGAUUGAGGUCUAAGAUAUAGAACCACUGUCAAUAGAAUGGAUAACAGUAACCAUGCUUUCUCUGGGUAGACAGAGAAAGCAUGUCACCCUCAUCCAUUCUAUUGACAGAGGAGGAAGGACUUGUUACGGUGGCCGUGGAGGCGGUUUCGGCCAUAUAUAGAAAAAGAGAAGUAUUUUGUUUUGGGUUUGGGUUUUGAUUUUGAUUUUGUUGCUUGCAGUUCUGUUUGGUAUUUGAGAAAAGUGUGUGUGUGUUUAUGCAUAGGCAAAUGAUUCUAUGUGUGUUUGCAUUUGCUUUGGAAGCUCAAAUGUGAUAUUUAUAUCAUUCCUUACCAUUUUUUUUUCUUUUGAAAGCUCAACUGGGAUCGAGUUGAUCGAGAACUUCUCUGGGCACCCCAGAGUUCUGUAUUAAUGUUCAUUAAUUGGGAGAUGCUUCAAACAGAUAAGUCUCUCUUAUCCAUUGACUGAAAGCUAUAUACGUUUUAAUGUCUACUUAUGUUAUUUAACCAUGCCUAUAAAUGCACGACAUUCUUGAUCAAUGAAGCAAUUAAUGCCCAUAUAUCAAGAGCAUAACAUUUUUUUGCCAUUUCUCUAUACUGGCAUCAUGAUUAGUUUAUUCACAAGUGAGCAUGUGUCAUUGAGAAAAGGUAUCAAAACCAUGUAGAUUCCUCUUACGCUAGCUGACUUUUAAUUGAGCUGCAACAUACAUGCAUAUGAACUCAUUUUGCUGUGUCAUACAUGUAUAACAUCCUCAUCCUUGAUUCAUGCCUUUAUCUCAAAAGACCUUAAUGCGUAAAUAUUAUGCUUGAGUUGCAAUGUUGUACGUACAUAAUUCACUUCUUGCAGCUCAUCUUAUUUUUGUCUCAAUUAAUUAAAAUGACAUUUGUAUGUUAUGGUGAUUGCUUUGCCGCAAGCAGUGAUUGAGAAAACCAAUCUGAAUCCCAAGGAAGUUGGGGAUAUUGUUCUCGGUACCGUGUUGGCUCCAGGUCUCAAAGAGCUAGCAAAUGCAGGAUAGCUGCUUCUAUAAGAGCUACAUCAGUUAUGACAUUGG
rnacentral:lncRNA from 1 species